rnacentral:lncRNA from 1 species
UGCUGACAUUUUGUUUGUAUUUCUGACCAUUCCACAGAUAUUUAGGGAGGGGAUGGAGUAAACUGCAUUUGUAUAUGGAAGGAAAGGUGCAAAAUCUAGAGAAAACUGAAAAGUUACUGAACUAUAUCAAACCGUAUGUCAAAGCACACACCUUCCAGGCCAGCAAGAAACUGUGAAAUAUGGUAGAGGAUGAACUCCAGAGCCAGCUAACCUGAAUUUGAAACCACGCCCUAUUCCGGUUUUCUGAUUGUGCCUUGUUAGGUGGGUUGCAUAAAAUCUCCAUGGUUCAUUUCCUCUGCAAUAAAACAAGGUAAGAAUAUUAUUUAUAUAAAAGAA